CCUACGGGAGGCAGCAGUGAGGAAUAUUGGUCAAUGGACGCAAGUCUGAACCAGCCAUGCCGCGUGCAGGAAGACGGCUCUAUGAGUUGUAAACUGCUUUUGUACGAGGGUAAACGCAGAUACUCGUACCUGCCUGAAAGUAUCGUACGAAUAAGGAUCGGCCAACCCCGUGCCAGCAGCCGCGGUAAUACGGAGGAUUCAAGCGUUAUCCGGAUUUAUUGGGUUUAAAGGGAGCGUAGGCGGUCGGAUAAGUUGGAGGUGAAAUCCCGAGGCUCAACUUCGGAAUUGCCUCUGAUACUGGUAGGCUAGAGAGUAGUUGCGGUAGGCGGAAUGUAUGGUGUAGCGGUGAAAUGCUUAGAGAUCGUACGGAACACCGGUGGCGAAGGCGGCUUACCGAGCUACGUCUGACGUUGAGGCACGAAAGCGUGGGGAGCAAACAGGAUUAGAUACCCGAGUAGUC
rnacentral:rRNA from 1 species